rnacentral:lncRNA from 1 species
CAGUGUUCUCAUUCCUUCCGCCUAAGCAAACCGCUUCAGGAACUUUGGCAUCUCGAUGACAUUUGAUUCAUGCCAGGGAACAACAAGCGGUGCAUUUACAUAUCAGAAAGGUUUAUAAGAAUGAAGACAAAUAAUUGGAAUAUAACUUUGGGAUGUCUACCUCUGAGAUGAUAUAGAGCUGAGUUUACCGCUCAUCCUAACCCUUCUUCGAUCUUUACACCACUGGAAGGACAUGAAGCGAUGCUUCCAAAAAGAUACUGCCAAAGAAACAGAGAGGCAGGCAGUCGGAGUUCCAAGAGCUGCCAGUCAGUUGGACGUGAACAAAGCUUUGCAUUUCUAUAUACCACCUCCCGGCUGAGAAUGGUACAGGACGGACAUUGAAAUUACUCCUGGAAAAGAAAAUUACAUUUGGCCUAAGAGCACUAAGAAUACUUUCCAACUGGACUCCUUGGCUCUGAAAAUGCUAAGUCUGCCAUUCCACCACCCCCAGUACAUUGUUUUACAAUAAACGACACCAAAGUCAACA